rnacentral:rRNA from 1 species
ACGAACGCUGGCGGCAGGCUUAACACAUGCAAGUCGAACGGGUGUCGCAAGACAUCAGUGGCAGACGGGUGAGUAACACGUGGGAACCUUCCUAGGGGUACGGAACAACUCAGGGAAACUUGAGCUAAUACCGUAUACGUCCGUAAGGAGAAAGAUUUAUCGCCCUUAGACGGGCCCGCGUCGGAUUAGCUAGUUGGUGGGGUAACGGCCUACCAAGGCGACGAUCCGUAGCUGAUCUGAGAGGAUGAUCAGCCACACUGGGACUGAGACACGGCCCAGACUCCUACGGGAGGCAGCAGUGGGGAAUCUUGGACAAUGGGCGCAAGCCUGGUCCAGCCAUGCCGCGUGAGUGAAGAAGGCCUUAGGGUUGUAAAGCUCUUUUACCAGGGACGAUAAUGACGGUACCUGGAGAAUAAGCCCCGGCAAACUUCGU